rnacentral:misc_RNA from 1 species
UAAAUAAAUUAAAUUAGAUAUUCAUCGAACACGAAAUAAUAAACGUGACCGACUAUCGAUAACUUUAAGGUGACCAUGCCUGCAUGCGCCCCCUACAGCAUUGCCAUAGCAAUUUUUCUCCGUCUCUUCUCUCAUUCGCUUCUCGUCGGCAGAGCACAACAAAAUAAGAAAUACAUAUAUCUUGUCGUGAAUAUGAAAUUGUCCCUGCACCGAUUCGCGCCAAUAUUCCUGUUCCUGCCAAGGAAAUGAAAACAAAACGUAAAACCAUAACAUAACUGGACCCAACUAAGACAAGCCGUGCCUCCACCAUUUUGAUUUCCCCACUCGUCGUGCGUGCGUGCUGCGGACUGGUCCAUGAUGCCAGUAAAAUGUGCAAAACCGAACAUAAAACAAAUUUAUCCUAUUGUUAUCUAGUAAGCCAUGGAGCGGAUUUCGCCUGAAGAAGCGGAAGCGGCCCACUUGAGCGAAGCGAGGAAGCAGAUAUUGGAAGUAGCCAGGAAUCGGCCGGGAACCCAAGUGGCCAAGUGCAUCCGCGCCUACGAUGAGCAACAGGAGCUCGCCUUGCUAGUUGUCCUCCUCGAAGAGCUCUCCAAGAACACGGACUACUCCACGGAUCUACGGAUAUCACUGGGAUAUUAUAUUGAAGAGCUACUGCGCCACUGCUUGGGACGAAAUGAUGUCUCCCGAAGAUCGGCCAUCGUGGCCGCGGGAAGUGCCCUCCAGUACUGCGGCAAGAUCUAUGGAGACCGAGUGGAGUACUUGUACCAGGUGGUGGAGCACCAGAUCGAAGCCCUGCUCACAUCGGAGUUGCAGAAGGAGACGCCCAGCGGAAGUGCUGCACCGGAGAAAAACGAGCGCAGGCCGGAGGAAACGCGCAAACGUCCCGCUAAAAAGCUAACUAACAAGGAAGUUGAUCCCUAUUUGCUCACGUUGGAACCGAAAAGGUUUAAGACCAUGUCGGACGACAAACGCUUUAACGCGGCGGGCUUUGUAAAGUGCACGAGAAAUCGGACGAUAGAAUACCUUUAUCAGGAUCACACGCCGCCCAACCUGUGGAAACAUGCGCCAAUUGUGGAUCCUCACAAUCCCUACGACCAGGAUGAGAAAAAACAGUACAAAAUGUUUACGUACCACGUAGAGCAUAGAUACAAUACGCUUCUGCCAGAUAUUCCCUUUGAAAGGCUGAAUCUCAUUAAGGAAUAUGUGCACACAAAUCAGGUGAACACCACGGAAAUUCUUAAUGAGCACAUGACCACAAAGGAAUAUCUGGACGAGUAUAUUGCGCUGGAGAAUCAAAUGCUAGCAGCCCGCUAUGGAGCCAUUGUCACAACGAGAAGAAGAUUGGUUGAUUCAGCGAGAUUAAUGGAGGACAAUUUGGAUGAGGGACUGGCGAAUGAAAUGUGCAUGGACAAGAAUCUGACAAUGGACACGGACGAAACAGUUCCUAUUGACCAAUCUUUGGUGGAUGAAAACAGCAGGUCCUUAACCACAGCCGACUCCACGAUGGACGUCAGUCAGGUGGAGAACUCUACAUUAAACGUUAGCGAAGUCGAGGCGACUUUAAGCAUCAGCCAGGCAGAAAACUCCUUAAGCGUUAGCCAAGAAGAGAAUCCUCCGCUGAGCAGCACAUUAGCCAUUAACGAGUCUAGUGUUCUGGACAGCACGAGAGUUGAACCCAUUAAAGAUCUGACUCUAGAGGAACUGCUGCUAAUCGAUUCAGGGAUCGGUUUGGAAGAAUUUUCCGAUAUUCAAAUGCAUACAGGCCAGUCUUUUGAUGAUGAGGGUGUUGUUCUUUCAGAUUUAGAAGAUCAACGCCAGUUGUCGCCCAUGUUGCAGUUGAUUAACCAAUCGGUAGAGCCAAAAACCAUUAAUAUCAUUGAGAUGGAUGCCGAUCUUAUCAUGAAUGUUCCAAGGGAGGUAAGCUAUCCCAUUCUGCUGAAUGUUAUGGGUCUCCCCAUAAAACGCCUGCGUCGGAAAUGCAUCUUUAAACUUCCACCUGAGUUCGACUUAUUCAGGCAAGCACGGCUUCCUACCAAGCGAGAGGCGUAUCCAAAAUCCCCAACCGCUCCCAGAGCUGUAUUGCAAACUGCACGAGAGGCUGCCCUAAAUGAAAGAGAAACCGGCUCCCCCAGUAACUUAGAGUUUGAUAGGGAUUUUAAUUUUCUGGGUUUCUGCCAACGCCGAACCACAUUUGACUCGGGCUUCGAUUUCAACGAGGUGCGUGUCUCAGGUUGUGUCUCCACCGUCGGAGAAGUUAAAACUGAGCUUGAAGACGAGCCUGAAGCCAACACCAAUAACUUAACUGAUGUGAGCGCCAGCGACGCCUUGAAUGAGAAUGUGAACCCCGCAAUGGAAAGUGGGCUUGGAGAUUCACUAGUGCAGGAAUUAAACGCUUCCACAGAACCCAAUGCGGAGAACAAUACCGCAAAUUCAUCGCAACUUGAAGUGACUGCAACAGAAUCGUCCGGAAUGCUAAGCGGACUGGAAACCACAGUGGAUUUAGGAAUGGAGAGCGCGUUAGUUAGUUCUGUAUUGGAUUCAAGUACUGAACCGAGUGCAAUGGACAGUAAUAUUCUAAAUGUCACCCAACCUGACAAUUCAGACCUAGAGAUUUCAACUGUGCAGGACCAAGAUACCUUACAUGACGAAGCAGAUGCAAAUGAUUUGCCUGCUGAAACAGCCAAUCCAGGUGUCGACGACAGCUCAUUAAUCCGGGACUGGCAUAGACGAUUGGCUCCUGCUUUGGAAGCAGCCCAUGAACGGCAGAAUUUCAACAUUAGGGACUUGGGCACCGAGAUCUUGGGCAUUUGCAAGGCGGGCAACGGAACAGCCACGUUGGCCGACGUCAUGGCUGACAAGGAUCCUAGUAUCAUGUGUCGCUACAUGCUGGCUUCCCUGGUACUGACAAACCACGGAAACGUAUCUCUGGAUUUUGGAAAUCGCGAUAAAAGUAAGCCCAUCGACAUGUCUCAGUUUCGAAUGCAUUUAAAGAGUAUGAAGCGAAUGGAAAUUAAUCCCGAGGACGAUGUGGGCAACAUAAAUGCGGCCCAGACCAAAUCGACGCAGAGAAGUAAAGAGCUAAAUGAUUCAGCUAACAAGCCAGGAACACAAACGACGGCAUCUGCAGCCACAAAACGAAAGUCUGCGGAAGCGUCUUUAUCAGAGGUGUUUGCUAAAACUGUGCGAUUGAUACAGCCCAUCCCAAAGAUGUGGCCGACUCCUUCUGAUGCCGACUCGGGGAUAUCUUCGAUGGGCUCCUCAUUGGCAUCGACAGCCCGCCUAAAUUAGUAGCCGUGUUUCGUCUUAAAUGUGCUUAGUAGUGCUUUGUAGAAAAGAUCCCUUGCGUCCCGACUCAGCCGAGAGAACAAUGCCCUUUCCCACGCGGUACAACAAGAUCAAGAUGCUGCAUUAGAUAUAAGUUCUUGCCAGAUUAUUUAC